rnacentral:rRNA from 1 species
AUUGAACGCUGGCGGCAGGCCUAACACAUGCAAGUCGAGCGGAGCGGCGGACGGGUGAGUGAUGCCUAUGUAUCUGCCUGGUCGUGGGGGAUAACUUCCGGCAACGGGCGCUAAUACCGCAUACUAUCAGACGAGCCUAGGUCGGAUUAGCUAGUUGGUGGGGUAAGGGCCUACCAAGGCGACGAUCCGUAACUGGUCUGAGAGGAUGAGCAGUCACACUGGAACUUAGACACGGUCCAGACUCCUACGUGAGGCAGCAGUGGGGAAUAUUGGACAAUGGGCGAAAGCCUGAUCCAGCCAUGCCGCGUGUGUGAAGAAGGUCUUCGGAUUGUAAAGCACUUUAAGUUGGGAGGCGUUACCUACAGAAUAAGCACCGGCUAACUUCGUGCCAGCCGCCGCGGUAAUUC